AGAAAUCCAAUCAAUGCGAGAAAUAUAAAUAAGGGAACAGCGACAGCCUGUAAAUUCGGGCGUUCCGUCAGUGUAAAUACAUGGUGAAGAAAGGGCCGGGCAAGACCGGUGCCAGCCGCCGCGGUAACACCGGCGGCUCGAGUGGUGAUCGGUAUUACUGGGUUUAAAGGGUCCGUAGCCGGGUUGUUAAGUCUCCUGGGAAAUCUGCCGGCUCAACCGAUGGGCGUUCAGGAGAUACUGUCAACCUAGGGACCGGGAGAGGUGAGGGGUACUCCAGGGGUAGGAGUGAAAUCC
rnacentral:rRNA from 1 species